rnacentral:rRNA from 1 species
GUAACACGUGAGCAACCUACCCCUGACUCUGGGAUAAGCGCUGGAAACGGCGUCUAAUACUGGAUACGAGUGGCGACCGCAUGGUCAGCUACUGGAAAGAUUUAUUGGUUGGGGAUGGGCUCGCGGCCUAUCAGCUUGUUGGUGAGGUAAUGGCUCACCAAGGCGUCGACGGGUAGCCGGCCUGAGAGGGUGACCGGCCACACUGGGACUGAGACACGGCCCAGACUCCUACGGGAGGCAGCAGUGGGGAAUAUUGCACAAUGGGCGCAAGCCUGAUGCAGCAACGCCGCGUGAGGGAUGACGGCCUUCGGGUUGUAAACCUCUUUUAGCAGGGAAGAAGCGAAAGUGACGGUACCUGCAGAAAAAGCGCCGGCUAACUACGUGCCAGCAGCCGCGGUAAUACGUAGGGCGCAAGCGUUAUCCGGAAUUAUUGGGCGUAAAGAGCUCGUAGGCGGUUUGUCGCGUCUGCUGUGAAAUCCGGAGGCUCAACCUCCGGCCUGCAGUGGGUACGGGCAGACUAGAGUGCGGUAGGGGAGAUUGGAAUUCCUGGUGUAGCGGUGGAAUGCGCAGAUAUCAGGAGGAACACCGAUGGCGAAGGCAGAUCUCUGGGCCGUAACUGACGCUGAGGAGCGAAAGGGUGGGGAGCAAACAGGCUUAGAUACCCUGGUAGUCCACCCCGUAAACGUUGGGAACUAGUUGUGGGGUCCAUUCCACGGAUUCCGUGACGCAGCUAACGCAUUAAGUUCCCCGCCUGGGGAGUACGGCCGCAAGGCUAAAACUCAAAGGAAUUGACGGGGACCCGCACAAGCGGCGGAGCAUGCGGAUUAAUUCGAUGCAACGCGAAGAACCUUACCAAGGCUUGACAUAUACGAGAACGGGCCAGAAAUGGUCAACUCUUUGGACACUCGUAAACAGGUGGUGCAUGGUUGUCGUCAGCUCGUGUCGUGAGAUGUUGGGUUAAGUCCCGCAACGAGCGCAACCCUCGUUCUAUGUUGCCAGCACGUAAUGGUGGGAACUCAUGGGAUACUGCCGGGGUCAACUCGGAGGAAGGUGGGGAUGACGUCAAAUCAUCAUGCCCCUUAUGUCUUGGGCUUCACGCAUGCUACAAUGGCCGGUACAAAGGGCUGCAAUACCGCGAGGUGGAGCGAAUCCCAAAAAGCCGGUCCCAGUUCGGAUUGAGGUCUGCAACUCGACCUCAUGAAG